rnacentral:misc_RNA from 1 species
GAUGAAGAACGUAGCGAAAUGCGAUAAGUAAUGUGAAUUGCAGAAUUCAGUGAAUCAUCGAAUCUUUGAACGCACCUUGCGCUCCUUGGUAUUCCAAAGAGCAUGCCUGUUUGAGUAUCAUUAAAUUAUCAACUGUACCAAUUUGGUUGCAGAUUGGAUGUGGGAGAUUUUGCAGGCUUUUGAUUUCUCUUUGAGAAAACGGUCAGCUCUCCUGAAAUAUAUUAGCAGUGCCUUUGUUGGUUCAUUAGGUGUGAUAAUUUAUCUACAUCUUCACAUGGUACCUUCAUUUGUGUAAAGGUCAUAUUGCUUCUAAUUGUCUUUGGACAGAAAAAAAAAAAAACAUAUAAUUGUAUGGAAAACUUGAUCUCAAAUCAGGCAGGACUACCCGCUGAACUUAAGCAUAUCAAUAAGCGGAGGA